AUUGAACGCUGGCGGCAGGCCUAACACAUGCAAGUCGAGCGGAUGAGAGGAGCUUGCUCCUCGAUUCAGCGGCGGACGGGUGAGUAAUGCCUAGGAAUCUGCCUAGUAGUGGGGGACAACGUUUCGAAAGGAACGCUAAUACCGCAUACGUCCUACGGGAGAAAGUGGGGGAUCUUCGGACCUCACGCUAUUAGAUGAGCCUAGGUCGGAUUAGCUAGUUGGUAGGGUAAAGGCCUACCAAGGCGACGAUCCGUAACUGGUCUGAGAGGAUGAUCAGUCACACUGGAACUGAGACACGGUCCAGACUCCUACGGGAGGCAGCAGUGGGGAAUAUUGGACAAUGGGCGAAAGCCUGAUCCAGCCAUGCCGCGUGUGUGAAGAAGGCCUUCGGGUCGUAAAGCACUUAAGUUGGGAGGAAGGGCUCAUAGCGAAUACCUGUGAGUUUUGACGUUACCAACAGAAUAAGCACCGGCUAACUUCGUGCCAGCAGCCGCCGCUG
rnacentral:rRNA from 1 species